CCCUUAGAUGUUCUGGGCCGCGCGCGCGCUACACUGAUGAAUGCAACGAGCUCUACCCUUGACCGAAAGGCCCGGGUAAACUUGUGAAACUUCAUCGUGAUGGGGAUAGAUUAUUGCAAUUAUUAAUCUUCAACGAGGAAUUCCUAGUAAGCGCGAGUCAUCAGCUCGCGUUGAUUACGUCCCUGCCCUUUGUACACACCGCCCGUCGCUCCUACCGAUUGAAUGGUCCGGUGAAAUCUUCGGAUUGCUGACCAAGAUCCAGCAAUGGAGCUUGGUUGCGAGAAGUUGAUUAAACCUUAUUAUUUAGAGGAAGGAGAAGUCGUAACA
rnacentral:rRNA from 1 species